AUGGAAAGAUCAGCAGCAAUGGCAACACUCACUCUGGGCACGAUGCUGGAUGUUGCCCUCGGGUCAUCAAGAGCUGGAGCUGUCGACUUUGAGCAGCUGUACAACCUCCUGAAUGGGAUGCUUUUGCACUUGGGCCUGCGGGAUCUGCCUGUCCAGGAGAACGGGGAACCACUGGAGGGGGCCGAGGGAAGCCCUUUCUCUGCCGCUUUCCUUGAGGAGUUGAUGCGGAAAGUGGAAGCCAAUGAAAAAGAACUCGCUGAGGUCCGGGCUCGUUGCCAGCAGCUCAAUGAGGAGGUCACUGAGAUGAAGGUGGAGCAGUCCCGCAUGACAGAGGACAUGCAGAGGAUGAAGGAGAAUUUUGGCGUGGACUCGCUGGAUGACCUCCGUAACCAGCUGCUGGAAAGUGUCAUGUCUGCCGUGAGGGACAUGUUGAUGGGCGACCAAGACUCCCCAGAGCCGAGGUCCAGGCAGAUAAACCCGCUGGAUGACGACGAGCUGAUUGUCAUCGGCAAUGAAAUUACCCUCGUGGAAAGGACACCGGUACCAAGGCCCAUCAGCCCCCUGCCCCCCAAGGCCGAGACAGAGGACAGAGAGAAGGAUUCCCUGGAGGCAACUACGAGCAGCCACCCAGUCUCCUUUGGGGCAGAUGAGGUGGGACAGAUCAAGGAUGAAGAGAUCAAGAUAAGUAUCUCUGAGGCAGAGGCUCUUCCCAGCCACCUGGAUGUUCCCCCUGAGAUGAGCGAUGUGGGAGAGAUCAAGGAUGAAGAGAUCGAGAUGAGCAUCUCCAAGAAAAAGAGUUUGGAUGACAGACUCACCACCUCAAGAAUGCAUCCAGGAGCCCCUGGCACCCACCCCCCAGUCCAGCGGGUGCAGGCAUUACGAGGCACCCCAGGAUCCCAGACCCCCUGGAUCCCAGGGGAGAGUGUGGCUGGCACCAGCAGCAAGCUCCUGACACCCAAGGAGGAACGUGGAGGAGGCAGCUCCAGGAUGGAGUCACUCCAAGCUAAACCUGGAAUGAUGAUGCUAAAGGUGCCCUCUUCCAAGUACUCACCUUGUGAGCCGCUUGUGCGCUUACGCUCUGAGAUCCCAUCCACACCACCGCUGUCCCCCGGCCUCUCCGCGCGCCUGUGCCACGCUCGCAAGCAGUACCAAACACAGGAGCAAAGGGAGCAGGCAGCCGAGGGGUAUUCCCGCAGAUCACCGAUGUACUGUGGGGGUAAACACACCAGCACCUACCCCGUGCAGCCCAUGGAGCCUCUCCUUCCAGACCCCAACAAGCCCGGCGUGAUUGAACUGAUGGGCAAGGAUGGACUCGUGUACCGGGGCCGGGAUACCUAG
rnacentral:lncRNA from 1 species